UACGAAGGGGGCUAGCGUUGUUCGGAAUUACUGGGCGUAAAGGGCGCGUAGGCGGUGUGUCAAGUCAGGCGUGAAAGCCCCGGGCUCAACCUGGGAACAGCGCUUGAGACUGGCACGCUCGAGUUCGGGAGAGGAUGGUGGAAUUCCCAGUGUAGAGGUGAAAAUUCGUAGAUAUUGGGAAGAACACCGAUGGCGAAGGCAGCCAUCUGGACCGACACUGACGCUGAGGCGCGAAAGCGUGGGGAGCAAACAGG
rnacentral:rRNA from 1 species